rnacentral:rRNA from 1 species
GAUGAACGCUAGCUACAGGCUUAACACAUGCAAGUCGAGGGGAAACGACAUCGAAAGCUUGCUUUUGAUGGGCGUCGACCGGCGCACGGGUGAGUAACGCGUAUCCAACCUGCCCAUCACUUGGGAAUAACCUUGCGAAAGUAAGACUAAUACCCAAUGACAUCCCACGAAGACAUCUGAAUGGGAUUAAAGAUUUAUCGGUGAUAGAUGGGGAUGCGUCUGAUUAGCUUGUUGGCGGGGUAACGGCCCACCAAGGCAACGAUCAGUAGGGGUUCUGAGGGGCAGGCACCCCAGAUCGGAGCUGCGACACAGUCCACAAUGCUACGGGAGGGAGGAGUAUGUAAUAUUAGUCAAUGGACGAGAGCCUGAACCAGCCAAGUAGCGUGAAGGAGGACGCGGCUAUGAGUUGUAAACUGCUUUUAUAAGAGAAUAGAGUGGGUCUCGUGAGACUUUUUGAAUGUACCUUAUGAAUAAGCACCGGCUAAUUCCGUG